rnacentral:rRNA from 1 species
UACGUAGGGCGCAAGCGUUGUCCGGAUUCACUGGGUGUAAAGGGUGCGUAGGCGGGAAGGUAAGUCCGCGGUGAAAUCUCACGGCUCAACCGUGAAACUGCCGUUGAUACUGCUUUUCUUGAGUUCGGGAGAGGUUGAUGGAAUUCCAGGUGUAGCGGUGAAAUGCGUAGAUAUCUGGAAGAACACCAGUGGCGAAGGCGGUCAACUGGCCCGUAACUGACGCUGAGGCACGAAAGCGUGGGGAGCGAACAGG